rnacentral:misc_RNA from 1 species
AACAAGGCGUACCUGCGGACCUGCGGAAGGAUCAUUAAAGAGAAAACUGCCCUUUGGGUAGAUCUCCCACCCUUUGUUUACCUUACCUUUGUUGCUUUGGCAGGCCCGUCUUCUGACCACCGGCUUUUAGCUGGUCCGUGCCUGCCAGAGGACCCCCAACUCUUGAUUUCAAGUUGUCCGAGUCUUAUACAAUAGUAAAAACUUUCAACAACGGAUCU